rnacentral:rRNA from 1 species
AUUGAACGCUGGCGGCAGGCCUAACACAUGCAAGUCGAACGGUAACAGGAAGAAGCUUGCUUCUUUGCUGACGAGUGGCGGACGGGUGAGUAAUGUCUGGGAAACUGCCUGAUGGAGGGGGAUAACUACUGGAAACGGUAGCUAAUACCGCAUAACGUCGCAAGACCAAAGAGGGGGACCUUCGGGCCUCUUGCCAUCGGAUGUGCCCAGAUGGGAUUAGCUAGUAGGUGGGGUAACGGCUCACCGAGGCGACGAUCCCUAGCUGGUCUGAGAGGAUGACCAGCCACACUGGAACUGACACACGGUCCAGGCUCCUACGGGAGGCAGCAGUGGGGAAUAUUGCACAAUGGGCGCAAGCCUGAUGCAGCCAUGCCGCGUGUAUGAAGAAGGCCUUCGGGUUGUAAAGUACUUUCAGCGGGGAGGAAGGGAGUAAAGUUAAUACCUUUGCUCAUUGACGUUACCCGCAGAAGAAGCACCGGCUAACUCCGUG